AGAGUUUGAUCCUGGCUCAGGAUGAACGCUGGCGGCGUGCCUAACACAUGCAAGUCGAGCGAUUCUCUUCGGAGAAGAGCGGCGGACGGGUGAGUAACGCGUGGGUAACCUGCCCUGUACACACGGAUAACAUACCGAAAGGUAUGCUAAUACGGGAUAAUGUACUUUUGUCGCAUGGCAAAAGUAUCAAAGCUCCGGCGGUACAGGAUGGACCCGCGUCUGAUUAGCUAGUUGGAGAGGUAAUGGCUCACCAAGGCAACGAUCAGUAGCCGACCUGAGAGGGUGAUCGGCCACAUUGGAACUGAGACACGGUCCAAACUCCUACGGGAGGCAGCAGUGGGGAAUAUUGCACAAUGGGCGAAAGCCUGAUGCAGCAACGCCGCGUGAGCGAUGAAGGCCUUCGGGUCGUAAAGCUCUGUCCUCAAUGAAGGUAAUGACGGUACUUGAGGAGGAAGCCCCGGCUAACUACGUGCCAGCAGCCGCGGUAAUACGUAGGGGGCUAGCGUUAUCCGGAAUUACUGGGCGUAAAGGGUGCGUAGGUGGUUUCUUAAGUCAGAGGUGAAAGGCUACGGCUCAACCGUAGUAAGCCUUUGAAACUGAGAAACUUGAGUGCAGGAGAGGAGAGUAGAAUUCCUAGUGUAGCGGUGAAAUGCGUAGAUAUUAGGAGGAAUACCAGUUGCGAAGGCGGCUCUCUGGACUGUAACUGACACUGAGGCACGAAAGCGUGGGGAGCAAACAGGAUUAGAUACCCUGGUAGUCCACGCCGUAAACGAUGAGUACUAGGUGUGGGGGUUGUCAUGACCUCCGUGCCGCCGCUAACGCAUUAAGUAUUCCGCCUGGGGAGUACGGUCGCAGAUUAAAACUCAAAUGAA
rnacentral:rRNA from 1 species